rnacentral:rRNA from 1 species
UACAGAGGGUGCAAGCGUUAAUCGGAGUUACUGGGCGUAAAGGGCGCGUAGGCGGUGAUAUAAGUGAGAUGAGAAAUCCCUGGGCUUAACCUAGGAACGUUGUUUCAUACUGUAUGACUAGAGUAUUGUAGAGGGUAGUGGAAUUUCCGGUGUAGCGGUGAAAUGCGUAGAGAUCGGAAGGAACACCAGUGGCGAAGGCGGCUACCUGGACAAAUACUGACGCUGAGGCGCGAAAGCGUGGGGAGCAAACAGG